ACAUGGUGGAGCAGGGCAUGGAGGUGGGCAUGGUGGACCGGCACAUGUAUUUCCACAUGUCCGUUAGUUUGAGGAGAGCUGCCCGACCAGGACCACAAACUGGAUAAAGCUUGGUCAUGCACUCCGGUCGACCCAUGCAAUCGUACAUCAUGCACCGAUCCUGCAGUCCGUUUCGCAGGAUGCACUCACAUCUGUACAUUAUUCCACCGCGAAGUUCGAAGCUCUUGCAUGCCUUGACUGGGCUCUAUGGACGAAAUGUUUAUGGUUUAAAAAAUGCUCGUUCGAAAUCAACUCACACAGCAUGGUGGAUCAUCAGAGACCGGACAAACUGGACAACAAGUUGGUGGCGGACAGGGAGGCUCGUCCCACUCGCAAGGCUUUCUGUAAGAUAAAGCGAUGGUUGGUUGAAUUAGAUGCAUUUACACGAGUAUGGGAGUAUAAUUAGAUAUUCUACUACCGAUGACUUACUUCUGAUCCAUAGAACUGACGAGACAUUUCAGCUGGGCCAGAAGCUCUCGCCGUCGAUCACAAUUUGGGUUUUUCCCGUCACACGGCAUCUUGGCAGGGUUUUUUUUCAGUUCGGAAUUUUACACUUUUUUUCGACUGGUUUGGAAAUAGUUAUUAUCUAUUUCAUUCAGUUAUCCAAUAUUUCAGUUUUUUUUUUUUUCUUUAUGUAUUUAUUAAAUUUUUUUUUUCGUAUGACGCAUUACUUCUUUUGUAAUUUCAUACUCUUACGAAGGACACCUGGUCUACCGAGAAUUUAAACAGUGCAAAGAAACAUAUUGAAAUAAAACUCGGGUGCAGCCGAAAUUUACUGAGAAUUUAACGUUGCUAUUAUCAUAGACGUGAAUAAACUAAUAUGUAUUCAUAUUUUCACCUCAUGCGUCAAUUGAGAAACAAUUCGUACCCCCGGCAACGCAUAUUUCCAUUGUUAUGGAACCCAACAGAAGAGCCAAUCACACGAAGCUUCUUCCCAAGUAACACCUAUCGCUGACCAUUCUCUGUCUACGUAUAAAAUUGAAUAGGAUUGACGUAUUACAAAUCCUUGGUUAUUUUUAAAACAUACGGUACAUCCACUGCACAGAAU